UACCAUGACGAUGAGCGCCAUGAAAAUGCACGACAGCGACGUCUUACAUCCCGCGCUGUUGUUCACUGCCGUUCGCGACAUUGCUCCUGGAAGUUAUAUGAUCGAUCAGCGAAGUGACAUGCAAGACCCCGUCAUGUUCACCAUUCCAAAAGCGAUCAUCUCCUUGUUGCCGUCGAUAUGAUAGUUCUUGAUCGAUGCAAAUGUUCGUCCCACCGCAAUAGCUUCCUGUGGACACAAACUCUUCAGUCAACCAUGAUCCGUGAUAGCCACUUUGAGGCCCGGUCAGGUGUAGCUCCUUGAAGGAUGGAGGAUUGAUCCCUUUCCUGAGCUGUCCUACCUACGAACAAGCAAGUAACUUACGGCAAGAGCGAGCGAAUGAAAAGAUUACAAUGCUGAGGUGCUCGUUGGCGUGCGUUGCAAACACACACACCGUUGCCAGGAACACCGAUGUUACAGAAGGAAGGUGAGGAAGCAGAUCCCAAUCACAACGGUUCGCCAAUUCCACUGCCAACACAAUACCAACACGAAACAAGCCGGCUGUCGUCAGUACUUGCUCUAGUAUAUCCUUUUUCGAGACUCGUCCUUCCGACGUAUUGCGACAGGCGAGCUGAAA